AUUGAACGCUGGCGGCAGGCCUAACACAUGCAAGUCGAGCGGAUGAAGGGAGCUUGCUCCUGGAUUCAGCGGCGGACGGGUGAGUAAUGCCUAGGAAUCUGCCUGGUAGUGGGGGAUAACGUCCGGAAACGGGCGCUAAUACCGCAUACGUCCUGAGGGAGAAAGUGGGGGAUCUUCGGACCUCUCGCUAUCAGAUUAGCCUAGGUCGGAUUAGCUAGUUGGUGGGGUAAAGGCCUACCAAGGCGACGAUCCGUAACUGGUCUGAGAGGAUGAUCAGUCACACUGGAACUGAGACACGGUCCAGACUCCUACGGGAGGCAGCAGUGGGGAAUAUUGGACGAUGGGGCAAAGCCUGAUCCAGCAAUGCCGCGUGUGUCAAGAAGGUCUUCGGAUUGUAAAGCAAUUUAAGUUGGGAGGAAGGGCAGUAAGUUAAUACCUUACUGUUUUGACGGUACCAACAGAAUAAGCACCGGCUAACUUCGUG
rnacentral:rRNA from 1 species